rnacentral:rRNA from 1 species
GACGAACGCUGGCGGCGUGCUUAACACAUGCAAGUCGAACGGAAAGGCCCUGCUUUUGUGGGGUGCUCGAGUGGCGAACGGGUGAGUAACACGUGAGUAACCUGCCCUUGAUUUUGGGAUAACUUCAGGAAACUGGGGCUAAUAUCGGAUAGGAUCUCCCGCUGCAUGGUGGGGGUGGGAAAGUUUCGGCGGUCGGGGAUGGAUUCGCGGCUUAUGAGUUUGUUGGUGGGGUAGGUGCUUACCGAGGCUUUGACGGAUAGGCGGCCUGGGAGGGGGACCGGCCACAAGAGGACUAAGGGACGGACCAGACUGCUACGGGAGGCAGAGGUGGGAAGUAUGGCACAGUGAGCCGGCGCCUGAUGCAGCGACGCCGGGUGCGGGAUGACGGCCUUCGGGUUAUGAACAGCUUUCGCCUGUGACGAAGCGUGAGUGACGGUACUGGAUGAAGAAGCACCGGCUAACUACGUG